CCUAACACAUGCAAGUCGAACGGUAGCACAGAGAGCUUGCUCUCGGGUGACGAGUGGCGGACGGGUGAGUAAUGUCUGGGAAACUGCCUGAUGGAGGGGGAUAACUACUGGAAACGGUGGCUAAUACCGCAUAACGUCGCAAGACCAAAGAGGGGGACCUUCGGGCCUCUUGCCAUCAGAUGUGCCCAGAUGGGAUUAGCUUGUUGGUGAGGUAACGGCUCACCAAGGCGACGAUCCCUAGCUGGUCUGAGAGGAUGACCAGCCACACUGGAACUGAGACACGGUCCAGACUCCUACGGGAGGCAGCAGUGGGGAAUAUUGCACAAUGGGCGCAAGCCUGAUGCAGCCAUGCCGCGUGUAUGAAGAAGGCCUUCGGGUUGUAAAGUACUUUCAGCGGGGAGGAAGGUGUUGUGGUUAAUAACCGCAGCAAUUGACGUUACCCGCAGAAGAAGCACCGGCUAACUCCGUGCCAGCAGCCGCGGUAAUACGGAGGGUGCAAGCGUUAAUCGGAAUUACUGGGCGUAAAGCGCACGCAGGCGGUCUGUCAAGUCGGAUGUGAAAUCCCCGGGCUCAACCUGGGAACUGCAUUCGAAACUGGCAGGCUUGAGUCUUGUAGAGGGGGGUAGAAUUCCAGGUGUAGCGGUGAAAUGCGUAGAGAUCUGGAGGAAUACCGGUGGCGAAGGCGGCCCCCUGGACAAAGACUGACGCUCAGGUGCGAAAGCGUGGGGAGCAAACAGGAUUAGAUACCCUGGUAGUCCACGCCGUAAACGAUGUCUACUUGGAGGUUGUGCCCUUGAGGCGUGGCUUCCGGAGCUAACGCGUUAAGUAGACCGCCUGGGGAGUACGGCCGCAAGGUUAAAACUCAAAUGAAUUGACGGGGGCCCGCACAAGCGGUGGAGCAUGUGGUUUAAUUCGAUGCAACGCGAAGAACCUUACCUGGUCUUGACAUCCACAGAAGAAUCCAGAGAUGGAUUUGUGCCUUCGGGAACUGUGAGACAGGUGCUGCAUGGCUGUCGUCAGCUCGUGUUGUGAAAUGUUGGGUUAAGUCCCGCAACGAGCGCAACCC
rnacentral:rRNA from 1 species